rnacentral:rRNA from 1 species
AGACCCGAAACCCGGUGAUCUAGCCAUGGGCAGGUUGAAGGUUGGGUAACACUAACUGGAGGACCGAACCGACUAAUGUUGAAAAAUUAGCGGAUGACCUGUGGCUGGGGGUGAAAGGCCAAUCAAACCGGGAGAUAGCUGGUUCUCCCCGAAAGCUAUUUAGGUAGCGCCUCGUGAAUUCAUCUCCGGGGGUAGAGCACUGUUUCGGCUAGGGGGCCAUCCCGGCUUACCAACCCGAUGCAAACUGCGAAUACCGGAGAAUGUUAUCACGGGAGACACACGGCGGGUGCUAACGUCCGUCGUG